AGCGAACGCUGGCGGCAGGCUUAACACAUGUAAGUCGAGCGGGCAUCCUUGUGGUGUCAGCGGCAGACGGGUGAGUAACGCGUGGGAACGUGCCCUUCGGUUCGGAAUAACUCAGGGAAACUUGAGCUAAUACCGGAUACGUGCGAGAGCAGAAAGGUUUAUCUGCCGAAGGAUCGGCCCGCGUCUGAUUAGCUAGUUGGUGAGGUUACGGCCCACCAAGGCGACGAUCAGUAGCUGGUCUGAGAGGAUGAUCAGCCACACUGGGACUGAGACACGGCCCAGACUCCUACGGGAGGCAGCAGUGGGGAAUAUUGGACAAUGGGGGCAACCCUGAUCCAGCCAUGCCGCGUGAGUGAUGACGGCCUUAGGGUUGUAAAGCUCUUUUCUCCGGGACGAUAAUGACGGUACCGGAGGAAUAAGCCCCGGCUAACUUCGUG
rnacentral:rRNA from 1 species